rfam:Triticum aestivum genome assembly, contig: Triticum_aestivum_CS42_TGACv1_scaffold_579522_7BL
AUUCUACUCCCUUCGUCCCGAAUUAGUUGACUCAGAUUUAUCUAGAUACAGAUAUCUAGACACAUUUUAGUGUUAGAUACAUCCGUAUCUAGAUGAAUCCAAGUCAGCUAAUUUGGAACGGAGGGAGUAGUAC